GAUGAACGCUAGCUACAGGCUUAACACAUGCAAGUCGAGGGGCAUCAUUAUCGGAGCUUGCUUUGAUAGAUGGCGACCGGCGCACGGGUGAGUAACGCGUAUCCAACCUUCCCCUUAGUAGGGCACAGCCCGGCGAAAGUCGGAUUAAUUCCCUAUGUUGUUUGAUGCUGACAUCUGAGCAAUACCAAAGAUUUAUCGCUAUGGGAUGGGGAUGCGUCUGAUUAGGUAGUAGGCGGGGUAACGGCCCACCUAGCCGACGAUCAGUAGGGGUUCUGAGAGGAAGGUCCCCCACAUUGGUACUGAGACACGGACCAAACUCC
rnacentral:rRNA from 1 species